AGUGGGAAUUAGAUUUCAACAUGUGGAUUUGGGGGUACACAGUCAGACCAUAGCAACCUUCUACUGAUCGGAAUUGUCUCCGUUUUUGUCAUCCCUAGUGCAGUAUGGCCUCGUGUAGAAGAGGGACUCGAUACUUGCUUGCUGGACAAAUGAGUGUUUUUGGCAAUUGGAUGAAUGCCCAAGGCCUAGCUGGCUGGUACCUGUCCCAGGUGUCUCUGCUCUUUUGGGCCGAAACACUCCGUGAACUAUGCUCCACCUUUGCAGCUGCUGCCAUUAUUUUUCUUCCUUUGGGACAAUGACACCUUCGUUAGUGCUGUUUAUCCUACUCAAUGGAGCUAGACAAGAGGCAAAAAUAAGAAGCACUUGGACUGGAGGAAGAACAACCAUUCAUGGAUGGUCGGUUUGCUCCCCAAUGGUCAGCAGUGGUGAAGGUAUAUCCUGCUCAGGUAGUCAAGGCAGCCCUGGUCCAUGCAUGGGCAGAACAGGAAGCAUGGAG
rnacentral:lncRNA from 1 species